rnacentral:misc_RNA from 1 species
UACGUAGGUGGCAAGCGUUGUCCGGAAUUAUUGGGCGUAAAGCGCGCGCAGGCGGUUUCUUAAGUCUGAUGUGAAAGCCCACGGCUCAACCGUGGAGGGUCAUUGGAAACUGGGAAACUUGAGUGCAGAAGAGGAUGGUAGAAUUCCAGGUGUAGCGGUGAAAUGCGUAGAUAUGUGGAGGAACACCAGUGGCGAAGGCGACUUUCUGGCCUGUAACUGACACUGAGGCGCGAAAGCGUGGGGAGCAAACAGG